CAGCAGCCACGGGAAUACGGAGGGUGCAAGCGUUAAUCGGAAUUACUGGGCGUAAAGCGCACGCAGGCGGUCUGACAAGUCAGAUGUGAAAUCCCCGGGCUUAACCUGGGAACUGCAUUUGAAACUGUCAGGCUGGAGUCUUGUAGAGGGGGGUAGAAUUCCAGGUGUAGCGGUGAAAUGCGUAGAGAUCUGGAGGAAUACCGGUGGCGAAGGCGGCCCCCUGGACAAAGACUGACGCUCAGGUGCGAAAGCGUGGGGAGCAAACAGGAUUAGAGACCCGAGUAGUCCCUGUCUCUUAUAC
rnacentral:rRNA from 1 species